GGGGUAUAGUUCUUCGGAGCUAGAGACCGGCGCACGGGUGCGUAACGCGUAUGCAAUCUACCUUUUACAGAGGGAUAGCCCAGAGAAAUUUGGAUUAAUACCUCAUAGUAUUACAACUCGGCAUGGAUAUGUUAUUAAAGUCACAACGGUAAAAGAUGAGCAUGCGUCCCAUUAGCUAGUUGGUAAGGUAACGGCUUACCAAGGCUACGAUGGGUAGGGGUCCUGAGAGGGAGAUCCCCCACACUGGUACUGAGACACGGACCAGACUCCUACGGGAGGCAGCAGUGAGGAAUAUUGGACAAUGGGCGCAAGCCUGAUCCAGCCAUGCCGCGUGCAGGAUGACGGUCCUAUGGAUUGUAAACUGCUUUUAUACGAGAAGAAACACUCCGACGUGUCGGAGCUUGACGGUAUCGUAAGAAUAAGGAUCGGCUAACUCCGUGCCAGCAGCCGCGGUAAUACGGAGGAUCCAAGCGUUAUCCGGAAUCAUUGGGUUUAAAGGGUCCGUANGCGGUUUAAUAAGUCAGUGGUGAAAGCCCAUCGCUCAACGGUGGAACGGCCAUUGAUACUGUUUAACUUUGAUUAUU
rnacentral:rRNA from 1 species